AAGUUUUGCAGUAAUGUCUCUUACAGGCUGUUAUUCUGCAAGCUACUGUUGGUGGGAUACAAGCUGGAGCUUUCAAGAUUAGUGGUAUUGCUGGUACAAUCGAUAAUACUAUACAAAGCAAACCAUAACAUGCCUGGAACUGUUGGAUUGGUGUCAAAAUCUGUGGGUAAACAUGUUUCAUUUUAUUCUGUUAACUAAAAUGGUAGAAAGGAUGGGUUGGGUAACUGUUCAAAAUGACUCAAAAAGUUUGGUUAAAAUACAUAAGAUAAUUUAUUCGUUAUUGGAGGAUAAGUUGUAGACUCGGACUUUAACUGGUAGGUGGACUGGUGCCUUGACAGCUAUAUCAGGCAAGUGUUUAUGACCCGAGUUGAGAUAGAUAUAGAUUUUAGAAUCUUGAUAUUUGUUUUUCUAAUUUCGGUUUGUAAUAAAUUGAUAUUUAGUCUAAAUGUGUCAUGCUUGCUACAAGUUCGACUAAGAAGUCGUAGACUAUGGGGAGCUUUUGUUUUUGUUAUGCAGGUUGAAAUCCAUGAUGAUACGAGCUCUACCUCUGAUGAGUUGAAAGUGAAUGAUAAACAAUGGAAUGUUAACGACACAUGAAGGACUGGGUUGCUGACCAAAGAAAGAUAGCACCAAGCGAUGGAUAGUAUCAUCAAAAGUUCAAUAAUACGAGUUUCAUCGAACCUGGUCCAUUGAAGGCAAUAGCUAAAUCUUAAAGGAGAGCAGGGAAAGCAGCCCAAGCUCUCAACAGGUGCUAUUACUUAUUUAUUUCUUCCGAAGACGAUAGCGAAAAGAAUGCUUUGUGAACAACCCAAACUUAAGGAAGUUACCAGAGAUAGAUUAAAAGACUCAAUAAAUGAAUAUUUAGUCAGCUUGGUUCCAAGACUAGAAUUGGAGCAGAUUAAGUAAGAGAUGCAAGAUAAG